rnacentral:rRNA from 1 species
UACGUAGGGGGCAAGCGUUGUCCGGAUUUAUUGGGCGUAAAGAGCGUGUAGGCGGCCUGAAAGGUCAGCUGUGAAAACUCGAGGCUCAACCUCGAGACGUCGGUUGAAACCAUCUGGCUAGAGUCCGGAAGAGGAGAGUGGAAUUCCCGGUGUAGCGGUGAAAUGCGCAGAUAUCGGGAAGAACACCCGUGGCGAAGGCGGCUCUCUGGGACGGUACUGACGCUCAUGCACGAAAGCGUGGGGAGCAAACAGG